AUGGGAAAAAGCAAUUCAAUUCUAAAUGAGCAAGCCUUCAACACAGAUGCAAGAUCAUACUUGCAGAAUUUCAGAUGGCAUGGAGGACUUGUCAACACCAAAUUUUCAUGGACUUACCCUUCCUAUGUCAAAGGUACUGCAAUCACAUCUCAUGGAGCAGAGUGGAAAGUUAAUUGGCUGUGCCAGUCUGUCAAGAAGAUGCAUGUUAAAGCUCUUGCGGGAUUGAAGGGUAUUUCAAAGAGCAUUUUGAGUACUUCAGAUGGAAAAAUAUUCUGUGAAAGUAAUAUGAACAUUCACACUGGAGAGACAUGAAUACAGACGAAAGCAAAGCCCCGAGGCUGUAAUUUCUUCUCAUCAGAGAAACAUGAUGGGAGCCACUGUCUCAGAAGUAAACCCUUGUGAACCUGAGCAAUGGCGUGUCCUAUGGGAUAAGAGUGAAGACGGUGGGUCCUGAGAGAAGAUUUUGUCCAAAAAAGUGCAAUAGAGAAGAAACAAAAUAAAGGAAAACAAAACUUCA
rnacentral:lncRNA from 13 species